rnacentral:rRNA from 1 species
UACGAAGGACCAGAGCGGUAUCCGGAUUUAUUGGGCUUAAAGGGUGCGUAGGCGGUACAGUAAGUCAGUGGUGAAAGCCUGUUGCUUAACAACAGAAUUGCCAUCGAUACUGCUGAUCUUGAGUACAUAUGAUGUGGGCGGAAUGUGCCAUGUAGCGGUGAAAUGCUUAGAUAUGGCACAGAACACCGAUUGCGAAGGCAGCUCACAAAACUGUUACUGACGCUGAGGCACGAAAGCGUGGGGAUCAAACAGG